UAGUCCACGCCGUAAACGAUGGACACUAGUUGUUGGGGAAUAUCUCAGUGACUAAGCGAAAGUGAUAAGUGUCCCACCUGGGGAGUACGAUCGCAAGAUUGAAACUCAAAGGAAUUGACGGGGGCCCGCACAAGCGGUGGAGCAUGUGGUUUAAUUCGAUGAUACGCGAGGAACCUUACCAGGGCUUAAAUGUGGAAUGACAGGGCUAGAGAUAGCUUUUUCUUCGGACAUUUCACAAGGUGCUGCAUGGUUGUCGUCAGCUCGUGCCGUGAGGUGUCAGGUUAAGUCCUAUAACGAGCGCAACCCCUAUUGUUAGUUGCUAGCAGGUAAAGCUGAGGACUCUAGCGAGACUGCCGGUGCAAACCGCGAGGAAGGUGGGGAUGACGUCAAAUCAUCACGGCCCUUACGUCCUGGGCUACACACGUGCUACAAUGGUAUGGACAAUGAGCAGCCAUCUGGCAACAGAGAGCGAAUCUACAAACCAUAUCAC
rnacentral:rRNA from 1 species